GACGAACGCUGGCGGCGUGCCUAAUACAUGCAAGUCGAACGAGAGCGCCCGGUGCUUGCACUGGUCAAUCUAGUGGCGAACGGGUGAGUAACACGUGGGUAACCUGCCCAUCAGAGGGGGAUAACAUCCGGAAACGGAUGCUAAAACCGCAUAGGUCUUCGAACCGCAUGGUUUGAAGAGGAAAAGAGGCGCAAGCUUCUGCUGAUGGAUGGACCCGCGGUGCAUUAGCUAGUUGGUGAGGUAACGGCUCACCAAGGCCGUGAUGCAUAGCCGACCUGAGAGGGUGAUCGGCCACAUUGGGACUGAGACACGGCCCAAACUCCUACGGGAGGCAGCAGUAGGGAAUCUUCCGCAAUGGACGCAAGUCUGACGGAGCAACGCCGCGUGAGUGAAGAAGGUUUUCGGAUCGUAAAACUCUGUCGUUAGAGAAGAACAAGUGCUAGAGUAACUGUUAGCGCCUUGACGGUAGCUAACCAGAAAGCCACGGCUAACUACGUG
rnacentral:rRNA from 1 species